AUGAAAAGUAUUAAAUUAGAAAACAUGGCUCAGUUGAUCUUAGUUAGUCUUGGGAAUGGAGUGGAAAAAGGGCGAAGACUUUCGAACGAGGAAAAUGAUCCCUUUGAAAGAAUUGACCGAGGAGCCGUAAAAAUCUCACGUACGGUUCUAUAA
rnacentral:rRNA from 1 species